GACAGAGGGGGCAAGCGUUGCUCGGAAUCACUGGGCGUAAAGGGCGCGUAGGCGGGAUGGCAAGUCGGUCGUGAAAUCCCUGGGCUCAACUCAGGGGGGUCGGCCGAUACUGCCGUUCUUGAGGGAUGCAGAGGAGACUGGAAUUCCCGGUGUAGCGGUGAAAUGUGUAGAGAUCGGGAGGAACACCGGUGGCGAAGGCGGGUCUCUGGGCAUUCCCUGACGCUGAGGCGCGAAAGCGUGGGGAGUAAACGGGAUUAGAAACCCCUGUAGU
rnacentral:rRNA from 1 species